AAAAUAAAAUAAAAUAAAAUAAAGGAAAAUGGGUUAUAAUCUUUUAGGAAUUUGGGAAUUUUCGAAAGAGAAAAAGUGUGGUUCUGCCCUAUAGAACUUUUAAAUGAAAAUUGAAAGAGAAGACCAAAACACAAGAUAUUUGAGUGAAAUGCAAAAUAAGAACACCGCUUUCGACAUCUUUAUUAAACUAGGCGGUUGCUGGCAGGUUUUUGCGACUUGAAAAAUUCUAGCGAGUCAAUACUGAUUUGACAAUUCAUUUCAGGUCUCUUCCUCAGACAAUUCAGAUAUAAAACCAAAAUAGUUUUAUGCUUAGUUCACUAAUUCUCCGAAUCAACUAGUCGAGCUAGUUCGAGUUCAAUAACAUUGUUUUUUUUAGUAA
rnacentral:misc_RNA from 1 species